CUUUAUUGCAAGUUACAGUCACCUGGAGAGCUUUCAGACCAUCCCAAGGUCCCAGAAGCACCUCACACCAAUGAAGUCUGGUAGAACCCAGAGGUCGGUGCUGUAAGCCUCCCCGGGUGAUCCAAGCGUGCACCCGAAGUGAUGAUCCACGUGCUCUAGUGAAAUCUCUGAGAACAACAACAACAACAAAAAUUGUCGCCAGUUUGAGAUCUGGUUUCUCAGGGACACGCCACGGAGCUGAACAAAAGGCAGGCUGUCGCCAGUGUGAUGGUCCUUCUUUCCAGGAGGACACAUCUCUCGGAAUAUUCUCGUUUUUAAACUGAAGCAGAUAUGCAAGUUCUAUUCCUGCCUACUGAGUAUGGUUGACAUAUUUGACAAUAUCCUUCUGUGAAGACAAGAGAAAGGACUAAUGUGAAAAUACACCAACAAACAUACGGGGACAUUUAUGGAGGAAUUCCAAAAAUUGGAUCCCUAAAGAAGAAUGCAUGUCUGACAGGAACCUCAGGACCUGGAAUCCUUUUGUGUCAUUUCCAGGCAACAGAAGAACUUUCCUUCUGAGGUAUGUCCACUAGAUGGCAGCAUAGCCAUGGGGAUAUUAUUGUGAGACAGGACAGUGUCUCCACAGAUGAGAAGAUCAAAGCUCAGAAGGCAGGCCUUGAACCCUGGAUUCCUGAUUCUACUUGUUCCAUCACAGCACACAGCCCCCUCACCCUGGCAGCAGAACUGAGUCCAUGAGGACCCUGGAGCCAGGAGCCAGAAGCAGUGACCGGAAGAUCAGGAUAUUACAUCACACUGUCUUGAAUAGUAACUAGAGUAAAUGAAAACAAACACAAAAUCUUUGACCAGCCUCUCCUUCCACAUCCUACGGCAUCCAUCUUGCUGAGAUGAGAGGAGUUGACAUGACUAAAGUCCAGCAAGCAGCCAGUGACACACGCUCACUGACCAGAAGGUGAUGUCUAAUACCAGCUUACGGGAGAGCUCAGAACCGGAGAAGACACCAGGCUACUUCAUAAAAGCUGCCAGAUGAGGAAAAAAGGAAUUGCUUUUUA